rnacentral:rRNA from 1 species
GCCAGCAGUCAUAUCACCUUACAAAUCACAACUGGCAACCCCCCUGAAGCUCAGCAGGUGUGAGCCUGGCCAGUACCUGGAUGGGAGACCUCCCAGGAAAAACUAAGGUUGCUGCUGGAA